GAUGAAGAACGUAGCGAAAUGCGAUAAGUAAUGCGAAUUGCAGAAUUUCCGUGAGUCAUCGAAUCUUUGAACGCACAUUGCGCCCACUGGUAUUCUGGCGGGCAUGCCUGUUCGAGCGUCAUUUCAACCCUCAAGCCCCAGCGGCCUGGUGUUGGGGACCGGCGACCUCGCCCGAGCCCGCCCUCCGGGGCGCGUGCCCGGUGCGUCCGCCGCCCCCGAAAUGAAUUGGCGGCCUCGUCGCGGCCUCCUCUGCGUAGCAGCACAACCUCGCAAGCGGGAGCGCGACGCGGCCACUGCCGUAAAACGCCCAACUUUUUUAGAGUUGACCUCGGAUCAGGUAGGAAUACCCGCUGAACUUAAGCAUAUCAAUAAGCGGAGGA
rnacentral:misc_RNA from 1 species